rnacentral:rRNA from 1 species
GACGAACGCUGGCGGCGUGCUUAACACAUGCAAGUCGAACGAAGUGGCGAACGGGUGAGUAACGCGUAAUCAACCUGCCCUUCAGAGGGGGACAACCGUUGGAAACGACUGCUCAUACCGCAUACUGAAGGAGGGGCUUGCGUCUGCUUAGCUAGUUGGAGGGGUAACGGCCCACCAAGGCGAUGCUCAGUAGCCGGUCGGAGAGGAUGAACGGCCACAUUGGGACGGAGACACGGCCCAGACUCCUACGGGAGGCAGCAGGGGGGAAUCGUCCGCAAUGGACGAAAGGCUGACGGAGCAACGCCGCGUGAGUGAUGACGGCCUUCGGGUUGUAAAGCGCUGUUAAUCGGGACGCGGUACCGGAAUAGAAAGCCACGGCUAACUACGUGCCAGCAGCCGCGGUAAUUC